UAAGAGAUAGUUAUAAUUUAUAAUAUUAAUUUUGGGGAUUAAAGUUACUGUGUGGUUCUCUUAA
rnacentral:tRNA from 1 species